AUCUAAAUAGUUUAAGUUUAAAAUGUUGGUUUGUGGUGCCAGUGAUAUAUUUUGUAUUUUAGAUU
rnacentral:tRNA from 1 species